UGAACAACCUGCCCGAGCGAGGGGGAUAGCCGGCCCAACGGCCGGGUAAUACCGCAUAUGCUCACAGUGCCUUAUGGCGCAGUGAGGAAACCUUCGGGGCGCUCGGGAGGGGUUCGCGACCUAUCAGCUAGUUGGUGGGGUAAUGGCCUACCAAGGCAACGACGGGUAGCUGGUCUGAGAGGAUGGCCAGCCACAUUGGGACUGAGACACGGCCCAGACUCCGUACGGGAGGCAGC
rnacentral:rRNA from 1 species